UCAUGUAAUUCCAUAGUGUUAUUAGUUAUUACAAUGUGAAAGGUAUUUCUCUUCAUGCAAGUCACGGUUUAAAGGAUUCUCUCCACGAUAUUGCUGACGAUUAAAAUUACAAACUCACGCCAAAAUCUCAAGAUGGACGUUAAUCUACAGAUAUACGCUGCGGUCUUCCCGCCCCGAUUGACUUAUUCGUGAAGGAAGUCUCAUAUUAUUUGUUUGACCAAUCUAUCGUUCGGGAGCGAGUGGAAAGAGAGGAAGAGAAAGGAGAGAGAUUUUUACGAGCGGAGUAUACGUGGCGGGCUGCGAGCUGUGAGGGCACCGAAGGGCUCGCGCGCGUGUAAGCAACGUCAGUCGCGGGUAAAACGUAAUAUUAUGCGACGGCGGGUCGCCUUUACGUAAACAUUUACGCCUCGUGGCAACACUAAAAUAUGAAGCCGUCGGAGACGGGAUUUCGUGUGGUAGGACCCUCCGUCUAAGCCCAAGUAAUUUAUGAGAUCGGCUCUUCUCGCGACAUGGACCUACCUACGUUUUACCAUUGAUGAUACGCA